UGGAGAGUUUGAUCCUGGCUCAGGACGAACGCUGGCGGCAUGCCUAAUACAUGCAAGUCGAGCGAACAGAUGAAGUGCUUGCACUUCUGACGUUAGCGGCGAACGGGUGAGUAACACGUAAGGAAUCYACCUAUAAGCGGGGGAUAACAUUCGGAAACGGGUGCUAAUACCGCAUAAUAUCUUCUUCCGCAUGGAAGAAGAUUGAAAGACGGCUCUGCUGUCACUUAUAGAUGACCUUGCGGUGCAUUAGUUAGUUGGUGGGGUAAUGGCCUACCAAGACGAUGAUGCAUAGCCGACCUGAGAGGGUGAUCGGCCACAUUGGGACUGAGACACGGCCCAAACUCCUACGGGAGGCAGCAGUAGGGAAUCUUCCGCAAUGGGCGAAAGCCUGACGGAGCAAUGCCGCGUGAGUGAAGAAGGCCUUCGGGUCGUAAAACUCUGUUAUAAGAGAAGAACAAAUUGUAGAGUAACUGCUACAGUCUUGACGGUAUCUUAUCAGAAAGCCACGGCUAACUACGUGCCAGCAGCCGCGGUAAU
rnacentral:rRNA from 1 species